rnacentral:rRNA from 1 species
CCUACGGGGGGCAGCAGUGAGGAAUAUUGGUCAAUGGGCGCGAGCCUGAACCAGCCAAGUAGCGUGAAGGAUGACUGCCCUACGGGUUGUAAACUUCUUUUAUAAAGGAAUAAAGUGAGGCACGUGUGCCUUUUUGUAUGUACUUUAUGAAUAAGGAUCGGCUAACUCCGUGCCAGCAGCCGCGGUAAUACGGAGGAUCCGAGCGUUAUCCGGUUUUAUUGGGUUUAAAGGGAGCGUAGAUGGGUUGUUAAGUCAGCGGGAAAAGCCCGGGGCUCAACCCCGGCGAGCCGUUGAAACUGGCUGUCUGGAGAGGUCGAGAGGUAUGCGGAAUGCGCAGUGUAGCGGUGAAAUGCUUAGAUAUUGCGCAGAACUCCGAUUACGAAGGCAGCAUACCGGCGGCGAUCUGACGCUGAGGCACGAAAGCGUGGGUAUCGAACAGGAUUAGAUACCCUUGUAGUC